rnacentral:lncRNA from 13 species
AUUCAUUAACAUGCUCCCAAAGACAGCAAGACAUUCAAUGACUCAUGAUUAUUAUUGUAGACUAUAGGCUACUCCUGCAUCUACCUUGUACAAUACUGCAAUCAUUGAAGUAGGGUAUCCAUCCACAUUUUAAAUUAAAUGUAUCAAUUAGAUAAAUAAUAUAAUAAUAAUAAUAUAAUAUUAUUGUAGAAGAGCUAGACUAGCAGUAGAAAUUGAAUGGGUUAAACUGAUGCAAGAGUUGGGGAUAGAGGAUGCAUCUGUCAUUAGUAAUGUUUCACAGUAACAUGUCAAACUAACCCUUUACAGAAAUAGCUCGCCACAAGGUUAGAAUAUGACUCAGCGCUAAAGCCGACCUGGUCCCGAAAAUAGUAUAUAAGGAGAGUGCCUUCCUUAAGAGGGCAUGAUAGUGCUACUUGACUUAUCACCGACAGACAGCGCGUGAUACUUCAACUAUCAUCAACCUAAAAGGUAAUAUCUGACUUUCAUACUCUAGAACAAUUGUAUCUCUUGACUUCUGAUUUCUGAACGAGACAUGCUGAGACAAAUACCCUCUACACUCCUUGUGCUGAAUACAUCCACUUCCUAACCGGAGUGGAUAAAUAGCAUCAGUGGUGUUACUAAGGGGCUUGAUCUCAAACCUUUCUCUUCACUAAUCAGUAAAUCAUAGUACAACUUCUAGUAGGAGAAACGGAUACAUAUCUGACUUUCAUACUCGAGAACAAGUGUAUCUCUUGACUUCUGAUUUCUGAACGAGACAUACUGAGACAACUACCCUCCACACUCCUGUGCUGAAUAAAUCCGCCUCCUAACCGAGGUGGGUGAGUAGCAAAGGUGGUGUUAUAAGUUUUUUUUUGUCUCGAACCGUUCUCUUCACUAAUCAGUAAAUCAUAGUACAAACUUCUAGUAGGAGAAACAGAUACUAAGUGAUUGGAUAAGCAUCUGGAGAAAUUGUGAGUGGAAGAACAUACUCCUUGGGGACCAACCAGGUCAACCUGCGCUAAGUACAAUGUCUGCAACCCAACCAUUGGACGCACAGGGGUUCCAACCAAAUGCACGUGACAACAAAAUCAAAUAACUAACAGACAAAACGAGUCAACCAUCAAGCGGAAGGAGAGCAUA